rnacentral:rRNA from 1 species
UACGGAGGGGGCUAGCGUUGUUCGGAAUUACUGGGCGUAAAGCGCACGUAGGCGGCUUUGUAAGUUAGAGGUGAAAGCCCGGGGCUCAACUCCGGAAUUGCCUUUAAGACUGCAUCGCUAGAAUUGUGGAGAGGUAAGUGGAACUGCGAGUGUAGAGGUGAAAUUCGUAGAUAUUCGCAAGAACACCAGUGGCGAAGGCGGCUCACUGGCCCGAUACUGACGCUGAGGCACGAAAGCGUGGGGAGCAAACAGG